GUAUUUUAUAAUGUAUUUUUUGACCAUCAAUAUUCAAGAUUUUCAAGUUUUAAUAGAUCGAAGCUUUAAACUUUAUAAAUAAAAAUGAAAGUAUAUUUUAAGCCUAUCACAAAUAUUUUCAACAUUCAAACUACAUUUCUCAAUACUAUUUGAGAGCAGGCUCUAAUUUGAUUGUUUAGAGCCUAGGCCCUAUACAAACCGCACCCAUAGAUAAAUAGACUAAAGAGGGACUCCUCUUCUAACAAGGUCAAGCCC
rnacentral:lncRNA from 1 species